AACGAACGCUGGCGGCAUGCCUAAUACAUGCAAGUCGAACGAUCACUUCGGUGGUAGUGGCGCACGGGUGCGUAACGCGUGGGAAUCUACCCUUGGGUUCGGAAUAACAGUUAGAAAUGACUGCUAAUACCGGAUGAUGACGAAAGUCCAAAGAUUUAUCGCCCAAGGAUGAGCCCGCGUAGGAUUAGCUAGUUGGUGAGGUGAAAGCUCACCAAGGCGACGAUCCUUAGCUGGUCUGAGAGGAUGAUCAGCCACACUGGGACUGAGACACGGCCCAGACUCCUACGGGAGGCAGCAGUAGGGAAUAUUGGACAAUGGGGGCAACCCUGAUCCAGCAAUGCCGCGUGAGUGAUGAAGGCCUUAGGGUUGUAAAGCUCUUUUACCCGAGAUGAUAAUGACAGUAUCGGGAGAAUAAGCUCCGGCUAACUCCGUGCCAGCAGCCGCCGUAAAAC
rnacentral:rRNA from 1 species